UCGAGAAUAUUUCGCAAUGGGCGCAAGCCUGACGAAGCGACGCCGUGUGAGUGAAGAAGGCCUUCGGGUUGUAAAGCUCUUUCGCCUGGGAACAAGGGAAAGCGAAUAAUAUUCGCCGUACUUGAGGGUACUAGGUAAAGAAGCACCGGCUAACUCCGUGCCAGCAGCUGCGGUAAUACGGAGGGUGCAAGCAUUAAUCGGAUUUAUUGGGCGUAAAGGGGGCGUAGGCGGAAAUGAAAGCAAGAUGUGAAAUCCCGGGGCUCAACCCCGGAACUGCAUUUUGAACUCCAUUUCUAUCGAGGAUAGGCGGAGAAAACGGAAUUCCACAUGUAGCGGUGAAAUGCGUAGAUAUGUGGAAGAACACCGGUGGCGAAGGCGGUUUUCUAGCUUAUACCUGACGCUGAGGCCCGAAAGCUAGGGGAGCAAACAGGAUUAGAUACCCCCGUAGUCC
rnacentral:rRNA from 1 species